AGAUUGAACGCUAGCGGGAUGCUUUACACAUGCAAGUCGAACGGCAGCGCGGACUUCGGUCUGGCGGCGAGUGGCGAACGGGUGAGUAAUAUAUCGGAACGUGCCCAGUAGCGGGGGAUAACUACGCGAAAGCGUGGCUAAUACCGCAUACGCCCUACGGGGGAAGGGGGGGAUUCUUCGGAGCCUCUCACUAUUGGAGCGGCCGAUAUCAGAUUAGCUAGUUGGUGAGGUAAAGGCUACACCAAGGCGACGAUCUGUAGCUGGUUUGAGAGGACGACCAGCCACACGUGGGACUGACGACGACGGCCCAGACUCCGUAACGGGGCGGACCGAGCUAGGUAGGGGUAA
rnacentral:rRNA from 1 species